CCUACGGGAGGCAGCAGUGAGGAAUAUUGGUCAAUGGACGCAAGUCUGAACCAGCCAUGCCGCGUGAAGGAAGACGGCCCUAUGAGUUGUAAACUGCUUUUGUACGAGGGUAAACGCAGAUACGCGUAUCUGUCUGAAAGUAUCGUACGAAUAAGGAUCGGCUAACUCCGUGCCAGUAGCCGCGGUAAUACGGAGGAUUCAAGCGUUAUCCGGAUUUAUUGGGUUUAAAGGGUGCGUAGGCGGUCGGAUAAGUUAGAGGUGAAAUCCCGAGGCUCAACUUCGGAAUUGCCACUGAUACUGGUAGGCUAGAGUGUAGUUGCGGUAGGCGGAAGGUGUGGUGUAGCGGUGAAAUGCUUAGAGAUCAUACAGAACACCGAUUGCGAAGGCAGCUUACCAAGCUACUUCUGACGUUGAGGCACGAAAGCGUGGGGAGCAAACAGGAUUAGAUACCCGGGUAGUC
rnacentral:rRNA from 1 species